rnacentral:misc_RNA from 1 species
GAUGAAGAACGUAGCGAAAUGCGAUACGUAGUGUGAAUUGCAGAAUUCAGUGAAUCAUCGAAUCUUUGAACGCACAUUGCGCCCGCCAGCACUCUGGCGGGCAUGCCUGUUCGAGCGUCAUUUCAACCAUCAAGCCCCCAGGGGCUUGUGCUGGGGCCCUGCGGCUGCCCGCAGGCCCUGAAAACCAGUGGCGGGCUCGCUAGUCACACCGAGCGCAGUAGCACAUCUCGCUCAGGGCGUGCGGCGGGCUCCUGCCGUGAAACCCCCCACUGUAACCCCAAAGGUUGACCUCGGAUCAGGUAGGAAUACCCGCUGAACUUAAGCAUAUCAAUAAGCGGAGGA